rnacentral:rRNA from 1 species
GACAGAGGGGGCAAGCGUUGCUCGGAAUCACUGGGCGUAAAGGGCGCGUAGGCGGGUUGGGAAGUCGGUCGUGAAAUCUCCGGGCUCAACCGGGAGGGGUCGGCCGAGACUCUCAAUCUUGAGGGGCGCAGAGGAGCCUGGAAUUCCCGGUGUAGCGGUGAAAUGUGUAAAGAUCGGGAGGAACACCGGUGGCGAAGGCGGGGCUCUGGGCGCACCCUGACGCUGAGGCGCGAAAGCGUGGGGAGCAAACGGGAUUAGAAACCCCCGUAGUCC